UGACAAAUAAGGGAUCUCGUAUUUCUCCACUCACCAUCACUCUUUCUCUUGUACGUGUAGUGCUCCAUCUGGAAGUCCAUGUUGGUACCUCCCAGGUGGGUCCCGGCUGCCAGGAACUUGAGCACAUCCUCCUCCUUCAUCUGCAGCACAUCCAGACCUCCGGACAUCGUGACCACUUUCCCUAAGUUACGAGUUAUAUGGAAAAGCUGCAGGAAAAAAAUGAGACAGGACUUGAGUCCCAUGCGGGCCAUCAGCUGUUCAUAGACGGUCCAGGCCAUGGCUGCCAUCAGAGUCCUCCUCAGAGAGCGUGGCACAGCCCCACGGAAGAAACCCCUCAGACCAUGCUCCUGAAGGAGAGAGAAGAGUUCACUAUUCAGUUGAUUCAGGCCUCACCAUAUAGAUGUAGCGAAUGGCGUCCUUGGUGGUCCAGUGGGCGGGGCUGACCUGGAUGUGAGUCUUGACCACGUCAGCUGGCUGGGUGACCACAGAGGCUAGGACUCCGGCCAUCACCCCACAGCCAAAGUUCCCCAAUGGGGCAUAGGGUGACGAGCUCACCUCUGAGAGAAGAGACCACACAGAGAAUGGUCAGACCUACACGGGCACUAACAGAAAAUACAGCAUCAGGUAACCUAGUGGUUAGAGUGUUGGGACUAGAAACCUGAAAGGUUGCAACAUCGAAUCCCCGAGCUGACAAGGUAAAAUAUCUGUCUUUCUGCUCCUGAACAAGGCAGUUAACCCACUGUUCCUUGGCCGUCAUUGUAAAUAAGAAUUUGUUCUUAACUGACUUGCCUAUUUAAAAAAGGUAAAAUAAACAUGUCAUUAUUCUGGAUUACUUGAAAUUCACAUGCAAGCAAUACCCCACAUGGCGUUUAAAAGCUGUUUACACUAACAGACGCCAAUGUAAAGAAAUCCUGCUGAAGUAACACACUUGACUAUUCAGUGUGUCGGUGUGACAUUUUGUAUUCUCUCACUCGCCCUCUUCCCCUCCUCUCACAUAGAGAGUGUGUUUCUCUUACCCAGUGGCAGGGACCUCUUGGCCUGGCUAUAGAACAUGACGUAGAUGCCAGAGAAGGGGGCGUCUCGGAGCAGUGUGGCCGUCAGCCCGGAGAACAGAGCCCUGGGUCCCUCCGUCUCACACACGCUCUUCAGAGCUCCCAGGACGCUCACGUAGUUGUACCGUCCGCUCUGCGCAACACACACAGUAAUACAACACAUUAUACACUACAACCACAGUAGAUCGCGUAGUUGUACCGUCCCCUCUGGAAUACCUACAGAUUACCAAGAGGGUUGGGGUCGGUUCCAUUUCAAUUGACUGACUUGAAAUGGAAUUGACCCCAACUCUGAAUACAGCGAAGGACGGCUCAUAGUAAUGACCUGAAUGGAGACAAUGGAAUGGUAUCAAACAUAUGGUUUUCAUCUGUUUGAUACCUUCCCAUUCACUCCAUUCCGGCCAUUAUUAUGAGCCGUCCUCCCCUCAGCAGCCUCCACUGAUUGAAAACUAACUCAAUACACAACAUUACACACAACUACUAGCAACAUUUAAACACUAAACCAGAUAGAUAUCCACCACCUCUGGAAACCAACAGAGCGCCAUUAACAAACAGAUGACACGUAGUCAUACAGAUGAAGAAACUAGCAGGUGACAUAGUUACAUUAAACAUUUGUAGUCAUGAAAGAUCCUCUACGCACAGCUAGAUGCUCAGUCCUUAUAAAACCAACACAACAGAAUUUAUUCAAAUGCAGAUAGAAGCAUUUAAUUCCCAAGGCAAUCAGCUCUCCCAUCAGAUAACCUUCUCUCUCUCCACGCUCUCUCGCCUCUCUUUUCCCUUCAUCUUCUCCUUCUCUCUCUGCGGUGGCAGGCUGCUAAUUCUACCAUCAUCUUCUCUCUAAUUCUACCUUCCAGCUCCAGCCCACAGACACCAGAAAUACCCCAGCCUAUCUGCUAGUGCUUGUUCUAUGUUAUUACUGAACCACCAACUCCUCCCCUUCCUCCUUUGUUUACUUCCUGACUUCAUUCUCCCUUUCCUCUCACACACAUUCUGAUUCUGAACCAUUCCUCAUCUUAAUUCAUACAUCCUUCCACCCCUUCUUCCAUCCAUUCAUGCUAAUCUUCCUCCAAAUCCAUCCUAAACAUUCAUGGCUGUAGCAACCCUCACCUCAUCCUUGCUCCUCUCCCUCCACCUCCUUCUCUCCAUCCUACACCAUUGCCUCAGUCUUUUUCCAUCCUCAUAUAGCCGUAGCAACCUCUCGCCCACUCAACCAUGACUUAAUCCCAGCUCC